UCAGAAAACACAACUUCUCAUUUUGAUGGAAGAAAUCAAAAAUUAAAAUCAACCCCACCUAAAAUUAUGGAAAAGGGGAAAUCAGUGUGACAAACGCUGUCUAAAAAGAAUCACUGAAAUGUCAAAGCUCAAAGGAUCAAUCGAGCAAAGCUUCCCCUCCAGUGGAUUCGAGAAGAUGUGCAAAUGCAAUGGAUUAAGAAGACACAGAUGAGCUUCUUGGACACCUGAUAUAACUUACAUUCUGUACAGAAAUGCACAGUUUACUUGAAAAUAAACAAUUUCAUCAACCCCACUGUGAAGGGAUAAACAUUGCCUGCAAUUCAGGAAAGCUGAAUUUCUGUUCCAGCCCAGCCCCAGCUUCCUCCGACUGAAUAUUGAAGAGUCUCGCCAGAGAGAAAUUCACCUGCCUCCAAAGCAAUACACGCAUGACCCAUUUCA